CAAGUGCUUCCUUUUAGAGGGU
rnacentral:miRNA from 1 species